rnacentral:misc_RNA from 1 species
UCGCGGCUUAUCACCGGCAGUCCCCUUAGAGUGCCCAACUAAAUGAUGGCAACACAGGACAAGGGUUGCGCUCGUUGCGGGACUUAACCCAACAUCUCACGACACGAGCUGACGACAGCCAUGCAGCACCUUGCACUCUGCCAAGUUUUACCUUGGAGGCCCUAUCUCUAGGGUUGUCAGAGGCAUUCUAGCCCAGGUAAGGUUCUUCGCGUUGCGUCGAAUUAAACCACAUGCUCCGCUGCUUGUGCGGGUCCCCGUCAAUUCCUUUGAGUUUUAGCCUUGCGGCCGUACUCCCCAGGCGGGGCGCUUAAUGCGUUAGCUGCGGCACGGAGGACGUGGAAUGUCCCCCACACCUAGCGCCCAACGUUUACGGCAUGGACUAC